rnacentral:rRNA from 1 species
CACGUAGGGCGAGCGUUGUUCGGAAUUACUGGCGUAAAGGACGAUGUAGGCGGUCUUGUAAGCUUGGCGUGAAAUACCACGGCACAACCGUGGGAAUGCGUUGAGAACUGCGAGGCUUGAGUGACGGAGAGGGAGCUAGAAUUCCUGGUGUAGGGGUGGAAUCUGUAGAGAUCAGGAAGAAUACCAAUGGCGAAGGCAAGCUCCUGGCCGAUGACUGACGCUGAGGUGCG